CCCUUAGAUGUCCUGGGCCGCACGCGCGUUACACUGAUGCAUUCAACGAGCUUAUAACCUUGGCCAAGAGGCCUGGGCAAUCUUGUUAACGUGCAUCGUGAUAGGGAUAGAUUAUUGAAAUUAUUAAUCUUGAACGAGGAAUUCCUAGUAAACGCAGAUCAUCAAUCUGCAUUGAUUACGUCCCUGCCCUUUGUACACACCGCCCGUCGCACCUACCGAUUGGAUGGUCCGGUGAAGCCUCGGGAUUGUGGUUCUUGCCGCUUUAUUGUGGCGUGACCGCGAGAACUUGUCUAAACCUUAUCAUCUAGAGGAAGGUGAANUCGUAACA
rnacentral:rRNA from 1 species